rnacentral:rRNA from 1 species
GACGGAGGAUGCAAGUGUUAUCCGGAAUCACUGGGCGUAAAGCGUCUGUAGGUGGUCAAAUAAGUCAACUGUUAAAUCUUGAGGCUUAACCUCAAAAUCGCAGUCGAAACUAUUAGACUAGAGUAUAGUAGGGGUAAAGGGAAUUUCCAGUUGGAGCGGUGAAAUGCGUAGAGAUUGGAAAGAACACCGAUGGCGAAGGCACUUUACUGGGCUAUUACUAACACUCAGAGACGAAAGCUAAGGGUAGCAAAUGGG